CAAUUAGGUUGUAUCUCGAUCCUAUAUAUAUUAUUCUAUAAGGUAUCCCAAAGAAUCUUGGGGAUAUAACUUCUAUCUUGCUAAAGAAUAAAAGUUGUUCGAUAUUUCUUUCAGAAAAAGAGUACCUUGGUGAAGGUACAGAUACUUUUAAUAUAGAACUUAUGAAGUUUGACAGAUAGAAGAACCAACACAAUCUGAUAAAUCCAUAGAAUCAGAUUUGAUUAGAUCAAACCUGAAAUCCAUUGUAGAGGCACCAUUAAGGAGAUCCGAUAGAGUAUCGCAUCCGUCGAACAGAUACUUUGGUAUCUAGAUUUUGAAAUCUGAUCCUAUUGAACUUGAUGAGAACAACAAAGAUUUGAUCACCUACAUCGAUGUCAUGCAGAGGUUCGACUUCGAUUAGUGGCUUGGAGCCAUAGGUCCGAAAUGGAGUCCAUGAAGGUCAACAGUGUAUGGACACUCGUUGAUCCACUUGAAGGGAUAAAAUCUAUAGAGUGUAGGUGCAACGCCAAUAGGAUUAGAGUAACACAGACGAGAAGGUGGAAUGUAGAACUUAUGAAGUUCGACAGAUAGAAGAACUAACACAAUCUGGUAAAUCCAUAGAACCAGAUUUGAUUAGAUCAAACCUGGAAUCCAUUGUAGAGGCACCAUUAAGGA
rnacentral:lncRNA from 1 species